UACGUAGGGUGCGAGCGUUGUCCGGAAUUACUGGGCGUAAAGAGCUCGUAGGUGGUUUGUCGCGUUGUCCGUGAAAACUCACAACUCAAUUGUGGGCGUGCGGGCGAUACGGGCAGACUGGAGUACUGCAGGGGAGACUGGAAUUCCUGGUGUAGCGGUGGAAUGCGCAGAUAUCAGGAGGAACACCUGCGGCGAAGGCGGGUUGCUGGGCUGACACUGACGCUGAGACGCGAAAGCGUGGGGAGCGAACGGG
rnacentral:rRNA from 1 species